AUUGAACGCUGGCGGCAGGCCUAACACAUGCAAGUCGAACGAGGGGCGGACGGGUGAGUUAUGUCUGGGAAACUGCCUGAUGGAGGGGGAUAACUACUGGAAACGGUAGCUAAUCCCGCAUACCAUCGGAUGUGCCCAUAUGGGAGUAGCUAGUAGGUGGGGUAAAGGCUCACCUAGGCGACGAUCCCUAGCUGGUCUGAGAGGAUGACCAGCCACACGGGAACUGAGACACGGCCCAGACUCCUACGGGAGGCAGCAGUGGGGAAUAUUGCACAAUGGGCGCAAGCCUGAUGCAGCCAUGCCGCGUGUAUGAAGAAGGCCUUCGGGUUGUAAAGUACUUUCAGCGGGGAGGCGUUACCCGCAGAAGAAGCACCGGCUAACUCCGUGCCAGCAGCCGCGGUAAUAC
rnacentral:rRNA from 1 species